AUUGAACGCUGGCGGCAGGCCUAACACAUGCAAGUCGAGCGGAGGAAGGGAGCUUGCUCCUGGAUUCAGCGGCGGACGGGUGAGUAAUGCCUAGGAAUCUGCCUGGUAGUGGGGGAUAACGUCCGGAAACGGGCGCUAAUACCGCAUACGUCCUGAGGGAGAAAGUGGGGGAUCUUCGGACCUCACGCUAUCAGAUGAGCCUAGGUCGGAUUAGCUAGUUGGUGGGGUAAAGGCCUACCAAGGCGACGAUCCGUAACUGGUCUGAGAGGAUGAUCAGUCACACUGGAACUGGGACACGGUCCAGACUCCUACGGGAGGCAGCAGUGGGGAAUAUUGGACAAUGGGCGAAAGCCUGAUCCAGCCAUGCCGCGUGGUGGAAGAAGGUCUUCGGAUUUUAAAGCACUUUAAGUUGGGAGGAAGGGCAGUAAGUUAAUACCUUGCUGUUUUGACGUUACCAACAGAAUAAGCACCGGCUAACUUCGUG
rnacentral:rRNA from 1 species